UUUAGGGAGCAUUGAGGUCAAGGAUCUGCCUCACUAUCCUUCCACCUUUGGCUCUGCUUGCAGUGGCUCUGGUUCUAUCCAUGCUUUUACUAAGCCUGCAAAUUCUGUAAAGCAGGAAACUACAAAAACGUUACAAAAGGCUCUGUCAAAAGAUUCUUCAAGUGAUUAAGGAUAGCACACUCUGCAUAGGAAAUGAAGCCCUCGGAGAGAUUUGAAGAAGCCCUUGGAGAGAUUUGAGAUAUCCCUAACGGAGAAAGAAUUGACCUUCAUUAUCUCAGGAAGGCUUUUGACAUAAAAGAGAAAGAGAAGAAACUGAUUACUUAAAGAGGAGAGAGAGCUGUAAAGAGAACUACGAGGAUGAGCAUCAGGCUUAAAGUGGCUUAAUUUAUAAACGGAUAAUUUAAAAAUAGAAUUGGAACAUUAAGCCUUAAUAUGACCUAUACUCCUCGCAAUCCAGAAGUGAAGGGAGAAAUGUGGACAUGAGAGGGGCACAGAGGAAGACUACCUGAAGACACACAGAGAGAAGGUGACCACGUGGUUGGAGUGGAGCAUCUACAAACCAACACACAUACCAAGGAUUGCUGGCAAGUAUCACCAGAAGCUAGAAGAGGCAAGAAAGGAUUCUCCCCAAAGCUGUCAGCAAAAACACAGCACUGAUGGUACCUUGAUUUCAGACUUUUAGCCCCGAAACUGUGAGAGAGUAAAUUUCUGUUGUUUUAGGUGACCUGUUUUUUGGAAUUUGUUAUGUCAACUGUAGGAAAUGGAUAUUGUACAACGAUUGGGGCAUGACUUUGCAAUGGUUUACCUGCUCUCAGAUGAAAAUUUUUUUUUUUUGUUUUUUUUUUAGAUGGAGUCUUGCUCUGUUGCCCAGGCCAGAGUGUAGUGGUGCCAUCUUGGCUCACUGCAACCUCUACCUCCCGGGUUCAAGCGAUUCUCCUGCCUCAGCCUCCCGAGUAGCUGGGACCACAGCACACCACCAGGCCUGGUGAAUUUUUGUAUUUUUAGUAGAGAAAGGGUUUCACCAUGUUGGCCAGGCUGGUCUCAAACUCCUGACCUCAAGUGAUCUGCUCGCCUCAGCUUCCCAAAGUGCUGGGAUUACAGGUGUGGGCCACCACACCCUGUCUCAGAUGAAAGGUUAAUAUAAUUAAGGAACAUCUUUUUUGUUUUUUUUUUCAGAAAUUGGAAUGGGGGAGUAGCUGAACAGAAAAGUCCAUCUUGUUCAAUUCCCACAAGAACAUUUCUUUGCAAUAUUAUUGGCAGGAAUAUGCAGUAAAGUUCUAAUAACUAUUUACUCCUUUCUUUGAAACUCUAUUCAGUUAUAAUGUGUCCUGUAAAAAGUAUGACACUGAUUUCAUAGUACCAAUUUUAGCCUAAUACAUAUUUAAAUGAUUCCCAAUGUAUAAAGAUAUUUUAGUAAUAAGAAAUUAUUUAAGGAUCCCAAACAUCACAAUAAACAUAAAGCCUAGUUUUAGGUUGCAAAAAAGUAUCAAACUUUAUAAGUUUUAGUGCAAAUUAAGAGAAAUUACAUUCUAACUACACUAAUAACUGAAAACUUCAUAUUAGGCAAAUAAUGUCUUCAACUACUCAAAUUAUAGGAGCCCACUUCAAGAACCUCAGUAAGAAGAAAUUUUGAAUGGUUUAAAAAUAAUAAAUGCCAUGACAUUUUAAAUGGAAAUUUGGCAUAUUUUUGAGAUAAAUAUGAUUGGAUACAUGUGUGUGCCAUUCUUUUAUCUCUUCUUACUUUUACUGUAUCUCUACUUUAAUGAUGACAAUAAUAUGGCUACAGACAUGAAAUGGUUUAUCUUUCUUCUUUUCUUUCACUCUUUCAUUUAAAGCAUUUAUAUUAUUUUUUAUUGAUGUCAAUGUUAACAUUUUGGCAUCCUUCCCAAGUAUAUUGCAAGAAAUACAUCAAUAAAAACUUAAAUUUAAAAAAUAUGUAGUCUGGGGCCAGAUAAUAAUGGCAUAUUUCUUUAAAAUUAGGUAUAAAGGAGUACAGACGAGGUCAAAAUUCUAAAAUUGGAAUCUUGCCAUUAACAAACAGAACUGACAUUCUGAUACUUCUAUCUGCUGUGGACGUGACACAGAGACUUACCAAAGCCAAGAUACAUUUAUUCAAGGAGGAGCAACUUGCCUUUAUACUUAUACCUUUGUUAAUAACUUGUUUAAAGCAAUCCUUUGUUUUCUUUGCAUAUUUGAAUUGAUUUGCUAAAAGUUAUCUACUGUUAAAUAAGCAAAACUCAAAAUUUUCAAGCAUAUGGGACUUGUUCAGAAUCAGUUUUUAGUUUCUUUUUCAGGAUUUUGUACAAGUUGCAAGAGAAGAGACACAAAAUUAUCUUAUUAAUUCUAUUGCAAUAUGGAGAUACAUUUUAAACAAAUGGAAAUAAUCAAUAUUAGUAUUAUCUGUAUAUUUGUGUGUGUGUGUGUUGAUCUGACUAUAUUUUUCUUCAAAGGGAAAUCACAAAGGCCAAGUGUGUUUAUCAGGUAACUCACCUUAAGAAAACUUGUACUAUGUGAAAAGUCAAUUUCUUUAAAAACUGUCACCAACUCAACCCUGGUUUGUAAGUAGAAAAAACUAUCAAUUAUUUUUUAACAAUAGUAAUACUCCCAAGGUAUAUACUUCUGCCACAAAAAAUUAAGAAUAGUUUACUUAGCACGUUUUGUCAUUGUGGAAAUCAUUGAGAAAAAUCACAGUGGAAAGUUAUUUGAAAAGGCAUAACUGUCAUUAGAAAGAAAUUAAGAAUAAAGAAGGCAGGCCUGGCGUGGUGGCUCAUGCCUGUAAUCCCAGCACUUUGGGAGGCUGAGGUGGGUGGAUCUCCUGAGGUCGGGAGUUCAAGACCAGCCUGACUAACAUGGAGAAACCCCAUCUCUACUAAAAAUACAAAAUUAGCCGGGGUGGUGGCACAUGCCUGUAAUCCCAGCUACUCGGGAGGCUGAGGCAGGAGAAUUGCUUGAACCCAGGAGAUGGAGGUUGCGGUGAGCUGAGAUGGUGCCAUUGCACUCCAGCCUGGGCAAAAAGAGUGAAACUCCACCUAAAAAAAAAAUAAAAAUAAUAAAAAAAUAAAGCAGUAAAAACAAAA